CAUAAAACAGAAAAGAGAAAAAGGUAGAAAAAGCAGUCUAAAGUUUUAGAAUAAAAAACAACAUUUUCUUUGGGCAUAAUUAUUGAGGCUAGCUGUUCCGCACUUGUUGAUGCUACCACCGUUCUAAGCAAGACAAUUCUACAGCUAUCUCUUAUCACUUUCAUUACUCCACAAACCCAUCUACAAUUCCUGAAAGAAAGAAAAAACUAUGGCGGAAGGAGCUUUGUUCGAUCUUGCAGGGAACGUCCUUCAACUGCUGGGCUCUGUCAUUGUUGAAGAGGUCAAACUGGCCUCUAGUGUUGAAACUGAGAUUGAAAAUCUAACCGACACAGUCACCACAAUCCGCGCUGUGCUUCUGGAUGCAGAAAUGCAGAGUUCUCAUAACCAUCAGAUCAAAGACUGGCUCAGUAAGCUCAAAGAUGUCCUCCAUGAUGCUGAUGAUUUGCUGGAUGAUUUCUCCACCCAAGUUAUGCGCCGCAAAGUGAUGACAAAGAAGGUACGCCUUUUCUCUUCAAGUUCAAUGCCGCUUGCUUUUAGUCCUAAGAUGGGUCAUAAAAUAAAGUCAAUUAGGAAGAAACUAAAGGCCAUUGCAGAAGAUAAGGAGGCUUUUCACUUUAGUCAAAGCUUGGUUGAGCCACAAGUCAUGAAUAGGGGGGACAGAGAAACUUAUUCUUUUGUACUCGAAGAUGAAGUUAUUGGGAGAGAGGAUGAUAAGAAAGAGAUUAUGAAACGUCUUUUUGAUGACAAUGUCGUAGAGAAUAUUUCUAUCGUUCCAAUUGUUGGUUUCGGAGGAUUGGGCAAGACAACACUAGCUCAACUGGUAUACAAUGAUAAAAAUGUCCAAACAAAAUUUGAGAUAAAACUUUGGGUUUGUAUCUCUGAUGUCUUUGAUGUGCAGCGGAUUGUUAAAGAAAUUUUAGAACAUUUGACAAAAAGGAAGCAUGAAGGAAGCAUUGAGAUGUUGCAAACUCAGCUUCGAGAAGAGCUUAAUGGAAAAAAAUACUUGAUUGUCUUGGAUGAUUUGUGGAACGAGGAGAGUAAUAAAUGGCUUCUCUUGAGAAAUUUGUUAAUGGGUGGUGCAAGGGGAAGUAGGAUAAUAGUGACCACACGCUCAGAAAGUGUAGCGAGGAUAAUAGGGGCAACUUCAUGGCAUGCUCUAAGAGGCCUACCUGAAGAAAAGGCUUGGAGUUUGUUUGUGAAAGUAGCAUUUGAAAAUGGUCAACUGCCAAAGAAUGAAGCCUUUGAAAGUUUGGGUAGGGAGAUUAUGCGGAAGUGUGGUGGGGUACCUCUAGCCAUAAGGGCGAUAGCAAGCUUGCUAUGCACCAAAGCUACAGAAAAUGAGUGGCGAUCCUUCAAAGAUUAUGAACUCUCAAAAAUAACUCAAGAAGAAGAAAAUGUUAUUUUAUCAACGCUUAAGUUGAGUUAUAAUCAUCUACCAUCGUACUUAAAACAAUGCUUUGCUUAUUGUAGAUUGUUUCCAAAAGAUUACAAGAUUGAUGUAGCAACAUUGAUUAAUCUUUGGGCAGCACAAGGUUUUAUUAAGUUAUCAGAUUCAAAGCAACGUGUUGAGGAUCUAGGGCGAGAGUACUUUAUGGUAUUACUUCGGAGAUGUUUUUUUCAAGACGUAGAAAAAGAUGAAUAUGACAUUAUAUCAUAUUGCAAAAUGCAUGAUCUCAUGCAUGAUCUUGCAGCUCUUGUGGCUGGGAUGGAGAGUACCAUGCUAACUUCGAGUGGGGAGUAUAAUGGUAAAAAAGUUCGUCAUGUAUCAUUUGAUCUUGAAGAUUCAUCAAGGAAACUUUCAAUUUUCAAGGUUAAAGGAAUGAAGAUACGAACAAUUCUUAUAGCUAGUGUAGGGGGGGAAUUGAGGAACUUAAAUUGCAAUGCACUUGUUUCAAAUCUCAAUUAUUUACGAACAUUAGAUUUAAGUGAAUUAAAUCUACGUGUAGUGCCACAUUCAAUUGGGGAAUUAAAACAUUUAAGAUAUCUUGAUCUUUCUAAAAAUAGUGAUAUUAAAUUUCUCCCUAAUUCCAUUACCAAGCUGUUAAAUUUGUUGACGCUAAAUCUUAACCGUUGUUACUCACUUAAAGAAUUACCCAGGGGCAUUAAGAAGUUGGUCAAUCUUAGGCAUUUAGACGUUAGUUGGUGUGGCAAAUUGACGCAUAUGCCCCUUGGACUUGGGCAUCUUACUUCUCUUGAGAUACUAACAAAUUUUGUGCUGAGGCAAAAGGGUGUGAAGGCAAGCUCGUGUGGUUGGUAUGAGAAAAAACAGGCUAAGUCUGGUGGUGGGCUAAGUGAAUUGAAGGAGCUGAGCAAUUUGGGAGGAAGUCUAGUCAUUAGAAAAUUGGGACAUGGAGAAGAUGACAUGGUGGAAUGUAAAGCCACAAAUAUGAAGCAGAAACAACAUCUUCAAGACCUGGAAUUAGAGUGGAGUUAUGAUGAUGGAGAAACUGAAUGUUAUGAUGACAUGUCCCUGGAAGGGCUCCAGCCACAUCCAAAUCUUAAAGCGUUGGAAUUGAUUUAUUAUAUGGGUGUGAGAAUUCCAAGUUGGGUCUCUUCUCUCACUAAUCUUGUUCAUUUUCAAUUAUAUCGUAAUUACAGAUUGCAGCACCUCCCACCGUUAAAUCAACUCCCUUUUCUCAAGUCUGUCCGUCUUGUGGUAAUGAAAGCACUUGAAUACAUUUCAGAUGAAGACAGUGUUAGUAACGUGUUGGGUGCUUCCUCUUCCUCUUCUUCUUCUUCUUCUUCUUCUUCAAAAACACCAUUCUUCCCAUCCUUGUCUUCUCUUGUAUUAGUGUCGUGCCGAAAACUGAAGGGAUGGUGGAGGAAUGAGCCACACCAUCUCUUACUUCCAUCAUUUCCUCCUUCUCUUGCGCAAUUAGUGAUUUGGGGUUGCCCUAACCUGACUUCCAUGCCCCUGAUUCCCGAUCUCACCUCUUUGAAAGAGACAAAUAUUUAUGGUUGUCCCCUCUUACGGCUACACGAAGGAAACAGUGAAGAUUGUCCCAAAUAAUCCAACAAGAAAAAACAAUUUAUUCAGAAUCUGAUUUAGAAUCGGAGUCUGUUCACUUCCAGAGGAGGAAUUAGCUUGUUUUGCAGAAAUUGAGGAAUGUCGCAAUCUGACGUCACUUCCUCAAGAGAUUAGCAAUCUCACCUCUUUAAAAGAGUUGUACAUUGCUGGUUGUCCCCUCUUAGGGCAAAGAUGCAAGAGGCAAAUAGGUGAAGAUUGGCCCAUCAUUGCCCAUGUCCCACGCGUACUAGCGGAUAGGCAGAACCAGCAAAAAGAAACAUUUUCUUCAGAAUCUUAGUCAGAUUCAGUUUGUUAACAAUUUGAGAGGAGGACUUAAUCGAGCAACUACCAUUGCAGGAAUUAGCUUAUUUUGCAGGCCUUGCAAUUGUGUAACACGUCCCAGAAUUGCAAGUGGAUUGUCAGAAUCUGCCGAAAACAAUUUCUCCAGAACCAACUCAGGCAAAGAACAAGCUUGGGUGCCAAAUUCAGACAUUAUUCAAAAACUGCAAUUGUGCAACAGAAUCAUAGCAAAUUUCUUAGAACUUUGAAGGGAGGACUUGACCAGGCAACUAACACUGCAGGAAUUAGCUUACUAAACCGAACAAAUUAAGGACAAACCUGGCUUACCUUGUUCAAAACUUUAUGCCCCAGAAAUUAUGCCAAGUACAGUCUUGGACUCAAUGAAUCGUAGCAGCUUUGGUAGAAUUUUGAAGGGAGGAACAUGACCAAGCAACAAUAACUCAAUGGGGAAUCAGCUUACUAUAAAGUCUCUGUUCAAACAAUGGGCAACAUGAUGCAUUUUCUUUUUUAUAAUCGUUGGAAAGCAGAGGGGGCAAGCAGUGUAAUGGAUGGAUAGAGUGUACGGAGUUUUUAGGCCAAAGAGAGGUAGGAGGAAGGAUGGCUAAGCUGUGAUGGGUAAGAGAGGAAAUUUGAUUAAAUGUCCCAGACUGGAAGGUAUUGGAGCAGACAAUGAAAAUGAGAGCAACCACAUCAACCUACUUUCCUCUCUUUCAAUUAGAGGAUUUAGAAUUAUAUCAGAUUAAUGAUUUAAAAUCACUUAUAGAGGAGAGGCUGCAGAACCUCAUUUCUCUCUAGGAACUCUAUAUAAAAAGGUACAAUGGACUGGGUUCUCUCCCUUGGAUAGGCAUCCUCACAUCACUACUAAGCCUUAACAUUUGGGAAUGUCCCAAACUAACGUCACUUCCUCAAGGGAUUCACAAUCUCACCUCUUUACAAGAACUAGGAAUUGAUAAUUGUCCCAAUCUGACGUCACUUCCUCGAGGGAGUCGCAAUCUCACCUUUAAAAAAGUUGUAAAUUCUUGAUUGUCCCCUCUUACGGCAAAGAUGUGAGAGGCAAACAGGUGAAGAUUGGCCAUCAUAGCUCAUGUCCCAUACGUGUAUGUGGAUGGUCUAAUCAACCAAGAAGAAACAAUUUCUUUAGAAUCAGAAUCAAAGUCAAAGUCAGUUUGUUAACGCUUAGAGAGAGGACAUAAUCUAGGUCUACCAUUGUAGGAAUUAGCUUAUUUUGCAGGUUGUCACGCUCAAAACAACACCCAGGUUUUAGAACUUUUGGUUUUUCCAGUGGUUGGUAAUUUGGCACUUUCUCUCUCUUCUAAAGCUGUGGCCCUUGGUUUUGAAUUUGGCCGUGGAGUCCUAUGUGAACAUGAGGCAGCAAACAUGAUUAUUGGAGGGAAAGAGUUGAAUCUGAUGGUGUCUUUAACUACUUCAGAACAAAUUAAAGGCAACAACUAACCUGGCGCAAAAUUUGGACUCUAUUCAUAACUUUCUGGCCCUGAAAUUGUGCAACAAGUCAUGGACUCAAUGGUUAUCAUCUAUUUGCUUUAUAUUAUUUGGGAAAUUUCUUUCUGUUUUGUUUCCCUUUUGUAUGUGCAAAGGACUGUUGCUACUUAUAUGAUCUCAUCACAUAAACGGAGAAGAAAGGAUAACAUCUAUAUCGUUGUACGUAAAACUUCUUUGAUGUCAUGAGGUGAUGUUCUUUGUUUCAUUUCUGACAACUGUAGAAAUGAAGAAAAUCUUUUGACACUUUAAGGGAGUAUCUACCCUGCCAACUAAGACUGCAGGAAUUAACUUAUUAUAAUGUAUUCAGUUUGGUCAAGUUUUUUCCUUUAUAUUAUAAGCUUUUGACAUGUUCUUGUAUUUGCUAAAUAUUGAUUUGCACAUGGUCAUUUGGGUAAUUAGUAAUAGUAACUAACUAAUGACUUAUGUAGUUUAUGCAGUGAGAUAAUAAGGCUGAAUAAUAUCUUCUUUUCCCAAAUGUUUUUGGAGAAUUUGUUUUUUGUCAAAAGCAUAAAAUGAGAUCGAGUCCAAUAGGUUUAUUUAGUCUAGCGUGCCUAUACAUGCUCACAAAUCCUACGGUAUAUGUAACAAAACAAUUCUCCAUCAUUCCAUUUCUUAUCUCUUUAUUUGAAAAAAUAUAAAAUUUCCAAUUAUAUUCUGGACAUGUUCUAACAUUCCAGAUAAAACCUUGGUAAUCUGUCAACUUUGUUACUUUUUUUUAUUUUUAUUUUCAUACUUUUAUAAGCCAAGUCACUUUAAAAUUUUUUUUCCCUAGUGGUUUAAUCUUUUGGAUCUUGUGGCACCUGCCACUGCUACAGCCUCUACCUCAUCUCCAAAUAUAUCAAGAUACUUCAUAACUUCCAUUAUUGUAUGAAUGAAAACUGAGCAUCCAAUUACCUUGUAGGAAUUAGCUUGUUAUUCCAGUUGGGAUGAAGGUCACUUCAACAAUUUCUUUGAAGUAAGUGCAAAGUGUGAAGUUGAUCCUAUCUUUGUGUACUAUAGAGAGUAAAGAAAAGGGAGAAUUUUGGUUGAAUUCCACUUUGAGGAUUAUUAAUCAAGGAAGAAUUGGUGAUUGAAGCUUUGUCCUAUUGUAUUCUCUCUAGAAGCAAGUUUUGAGAAGCCUUCAGAAAAGGCAAAUUUGAGUUCAAAUAAAAGCUGAUGGCGGUUCCAUUGAGCACACAACUUGUCUCAGCUCCUUUUCCAUGAGAGGGAUAUCAGCCAUUAUAUGGUUGUAAAGUUAACCAUUGGAGGGUCAUCAAAAGGGGAUUAUUCAACAUUAAUACAGAGCAAAUUUUGUAUUAAGUCUAGAAUUUGACCUAUUACAAGGAAGAUGGUUAAGAUCGCUCAUGAUAAUGUGGAUUGGUCAUUUGUCCUUCUUUGGAAAAGUAUUAGUCAUCUUCAACAGUAGCGCCAGAGAAUGAGAACAGUUGAACAGAUUCAUUCAUUUCAUUAGGAAUGCUGAUUUUGCAAUUCUCAACUUGUUUAA